rnacentral:rRNA from 1 species
GUGCCAGCCGCCGCGGUAAGACAGAGGUGGCAAGCGUUGUUCGGAAUUAUUGGGCUUAAAGCGUGUGCAGGCGGCGGCGUAAGUGUCGAGUGAAAUGCCAGUGCUCAACGCUGGAACGGCUCGGCAUACUGCGUCGCUUGAGGUCGGUAGAGGUGCUUGGAACUCUAGGUGGAGCGGUGAAAUGCGUAGAUAUCUAGAGGAACGCCUGAGGCGAAAGCGGAGCACUGGGCCGAAUCUGACGCUGAGACACGAAAGCGUGGGGAGCAAACAGGAUUAGAAACCCGCGUAGUCC